rnacentral:lncRNA from 1 species
UUUGCAGGCGCAAUCAGCAAAAGAAAGGAAAGACAAAGGAAGCUGGAAUGGAAACAAAGGAAAAUGAGGCUACCACAAUUCGACUGAUCGAAAUCAGCAAGAAGGAAACUCGUUGAAUUAGAGAAAACCCUGGCACCAAGGCAACCAAAGAGGUGGUGUUACAGGUAGAGGAAGAGGUGAUGGUCAAAAGCUAGACAAUAGUCACAUUUAGUGUUACAAUUGUUAGAAGUAUGGUCACUAUUCUAGUGAUUAUCC